GGUUCAUAAGCCACUGAGUUACAAUCACGGAUCCAUGUGGAGGAAAGGGGAAUAGGAAGAAAAAUGUAUUUUGUUAAAGAACUACAUCAGCGAAUCAAGAAGGUGCUUCUGAGAAUGCGACACAAGGGGAGCAGGGCAGAGGAUCCACGGUCAAAGAUGUCAGCCUCCCCAGUUUGUUCUUUGGCCGUCAUCAUUUCACUCCUCUAAAUCCUAAAGCUUUUUGGUUUGGGUUUUAUUUUGUUUUUACUUUACCACUUUUUCAGAUUUUUAAGUGCCUCUGGCAAGCAUUAAAUUUGCACAUCCGAGUUAUUACAUAACCACUAGAGGAUUAAUUGCUAGAGAGCGGAAAGCUAGAUUCUAGAACCAUGAGAUAACCGGUCAGACGUAUCUGACCGGAAAGAUCCAAAACAUGUGUUCAGAUGACUUGGACCAAAGUCUUGGCUGCACUACUUUCUUUGAGCUUUGGUUUCCUAAUCUUUGAAGGGGCAUUGAUUAUAAUACUUUUCCCUAUCUAUCUCAUGAAGAUGUAUAACAUGUCCCUGUAAUUAAUACUCAUACAUACUACUGUGUUCCUUAGUGCUUGUGUGGGUCAGAGUCGGGAAGGUGAAUAAAAAGCAAA